rnacentral:lncRNA from 1 species
AUGACGUUUAUUUUUUACUCUUAUUCUCCUUCAGGAGAAUGCUCUCUUGACAAAAUAAGAUGUCAUCCACUCUGUGUGUGUGUGUGUGUGUAUCAUUAUUCAGCUAGUUAUAAGUUUAUAUAUGAAUUGUCUAAUAACUUGUGUUUCCUGUUGUUCCAUUUCCAUGAUAUUGACCUUAAACUUUUCACUUUAUUUUUCAGAACCUCAGGGAAAAAAUGCUAAGGGUGAACAGAAUAAUGACAAGUCCCUUUAAUACUUUACACCUUGUAUUUUGUCACGUUUCUUCUGUUUCUAUACCAUUUGUCUUUGAUGCUCCGUGAUCAUCUUUCUCAACUCCAACCUACACAUAUAACGUCACAUCAUAAUUUUUUCAUUUCUUCAUUGUUAUUUUAGCUAAAAUUUAUCAUCUUCAUAUGUUAUUCAAUGCCCUAUUUUCCUUUGAUUUAUUCUAGCCUUGCUACGCAUAUAGAAAUUUCCUUUUUCUCAAAUAUAUUCUAAUGAUAACUAACUUGUAAAAU